rfam:Triticum aestivum genome assembly, contig: Triticum_aestivum_CS42_TGACv1_scaffold_406056_5BL
CAAGUACUCCCUCCGUCCGGAAUUACUUGUCAUCAAAAUGGAUGUGUCUAGAACUAAAAUACAUCUAGAUACAUCCAUUUCAAUGACAAGUAUUUUCGUACGGAGGGAGUACAAG